GGAGAGGACGGAGAAGGGGAUGUGGGAGGGAAAAGCGUCCGAACGGUCCGAGAAGAGCCGGGGGGGAGGCAGGUGGAAGGCAGGCACGCCGCCUGACAGCCGCGCCGAUGUGAUGAGUCAUGCGAAGGCAGCCAGACGCGUAGGUUCCUCACAGGAACCCGAAGGAAACCUGAGAGCACAUUCCCUAUUACCUAAUCCCUGCCUCAGGAUUUCCCUGCGCUCAUCGUUUCCGGCGCCGGUGUCGCCUCCGCCGGGCUCCCGUUUUCCUGCCAGGAUGGGGCCGGAGGGUUUGUGUAUACUGCAUCAUCAGUGAGUCACAAGCCUCAAGAGAAUGCAGUUCAAUGCAAGCACCACAAAAACAGUUUUAAGUUCAUCUUCAGUUCUUUUUCACUAGUAAAUCAGAGGCUGUUGGAGUUUCUGAGGAGCUAUAAUCCAGAUCUUGUGUUUCAUCUCUGCUGUUAGAUGCCAGAUAGAUGUGAAGUUCAAAACGGUGCUUUCAUUGUCCUUGAACAAGGACUUUGCAGCAGGUAAGGGCUCAUGCCCCAAUCUGGCAAAGCAUUUAGGCAUCUAAAAGCAUCCAUCAGCAGCUCCACUGCCUUCUGUCCUGGGCUGAGGCAUGUGAACAGAUUGCUACACAAAACUUUGUUAAAAUUCAGA